UUCAACCGGGAAGGGAAACAGGGCAGAAAACAUCCUGUAGCCAAGAAGGCUCCACACCACAGACUGCUUGAAGAAAUGAAGAAGAUCACUUCAUCAGUUACCUUGCACCCCGUCAAUGUGCCUCAAAAAUCUGCUGCAGAAGAUUUAGGACUGAAUCCCAGAAGAAGAGUUCAACAAGGUCCUGGGAUUGAAAACAACAGCAGCAACAACAAAAAUCUCAUCUUCAGCUAGUUUUCUGGAAAAAUAAUGAAACUUUUUUAUUCAUGGAAGGGAUUCUUGGAUUCCUAGAUAGUACAUAAUUUUGUCUCCAUUUCAGGUUUGUAAUGCUGCUGGUACUGGCAAAAUAAAAGACAGAGUCUCCAUUA